rnacentral:ncRNA from 1 species
CCAAACGCAAUGAUUGGGACUAGUAAGGAACACCUAUUGUCCAGAGAGCUGUCGCUUCGGUGGAAGACAGCCAAUAGCUUCCCCAACUCACCCUUGAGCGGUAAGAUCGAAGUGUUUCGUAGAUCUUAACGGUUAACCACCGUGAUCGGGUCUCGAGGAUUUGUAACUAUUCAUGUUACGAAUCAAGAAGAGUGGUACCGCGAAGGUUUAACCUGUCGCCUCUUUG